GAUGAACGCUAGCGGCAGGCUUUAACACAUGCAAGUCGAGGGGCAGCGGGAGGAGGUAGCAAUACCACCUUGCCGGCGACCGGCGGAAAGGGUGCGUAACGCGUGAGCAACCUGCCCGUCACUGGGGGAAUAACCGUUGGAAACGACGACUAAUACCCCAUAGUUCUGGAGGGAGGCAUCUCCUUUCAGGUAAAGAGAUUCGGUGACGGAUGGGCUCGCGUGACAUUAGCUAGUUGGUAGGUAACGGCCUACCAAGGCGACGAUGUCUAGGGGUUCUGAGAGGAAGGUCCCCCACACUGGAACUGAGACACGGUCCAGACUCCUACGGGAGGCAGCAGUGAGGAAUAUUGGUCAAUGGGCGGAAGCCUGAACCAGCCAUGCCGCGUGAAGGAAGAAGGUCCUAUGGAUUUUAAACUUCUUUUGUCGGAGAGCAAUAAGGGUCUCGUGAGAUCCGAUGAGAGUAUCCGACGAAUAAGCAUCGGCUAACUCCGUGCCAGCAGCCGCGGU
rnacentral:rRNA from 1 species